rnacentral:lncRNA from 10 species
UUAUAUCAUUCAUAAGACUACAAUGGCUGUUUAAAGAUCUUUCCGGUGAAUUCUAACAUUUUUGUAUCAUUCAUAAGACCUUACAAUGGCUGCUUUAAAGAUCUUUCCGGGAAUCUCCUCAUCUUUGCCACCGGUGGGGUACCCUCCCCACUCAUCCUGAGGUACCUGGGAGCAGACAGACAUGAAACACGCAUCAACUUUGUCACUGAGAACGGCAGCAUCAGCUCCUUUUUGGAAACAAAUCCUCUACAAUUCCAUAAAGAUACACCUCUUUACAGUCAUUUAUCAGUUAAAGUCAGAUGUAUAAAAAUGCAUAUCCUAAAAGGAAAUGAAUAUAAAAAUGUUGGUUUUUCUUCAUUAUAAGUGAUAGGUAAACACUAUGGAUAAAGUGAGAACAUGUGAGAAAAGUAAGAGAAGAAGGGACACUUGCAAUCUCAGCAGCUGGGACAAAGCACUGGCUAAAAUUUAGUUUUAUUUCCCUCUGGUAUAAGAGGAAAUUGAAAGUUGAGAAACUGAACAGAGAAGAAAAGGAAAAAAAAAAAAGAAAACAAGGGAGAAAAUGCCUAUCUUAUUGUAUACUUAUAUCUUAAUUGCAAGCAAAUAAAAGAGGACGGUUUUAAAUCUAGAAGCCAAGUUCUAUCAUACAUGCAAAUUCUCAGUACUCAGAGUUGCAAAAGGAUCUUGCCCAGCCACAUCACAUUCCACCUGACAUAUCACCAAGCACCUGUGCAUGGAAUAUGUCUGCCUGUUACAGAACUCAGCACCCGCUCAUGUUAUAUAUCUGGGUGGUACAGAGCUGAUCACCUGUGCGUGUUAUACGUCUGCCUCGUACAGAGCUGAGCACCCAUGCAUGUUAUAUGUCUGCCUGGUGCAGACCUGAGCAACCAUGAAUACUAUAUAUCUGUGUGGUAUGGAACUCAGCACCCACGCAUGUUAUAUGUCUGCCUGGUGCAGACCUGAGCAACCAUGAAUGUUACAUAUCUGUGUGGUAUGGAACUCAGCACCUGCCUGUGCAUGCAAUAUAUCUGUGUGGUACAGAGCUGACCACCUGUGCUUGUUAUAUGUCUGCCUGGUACAGAGCUGAGCAACUAUGCAUGUUAUGUGUCUGCCUGGUGCAGACUUGAGCAACCAUGAAUGUUAUAUAUCUGUGUGGUAUAGAACUCAGCACCCGUGCGUAUUAUAUAUCCGCAUGGUACCAAACUGAGCAACUGUGCAUGUUAUACAUCUGCCUGGCACAGAGGUGAGCACCUAUGCCUGUUAUAUAUCUGCCAGGCACAGAACUGGGCCCAUGUACUUGCUAUAUAUCUGCCUUGCACAGAGCUGAGAGCCCAUACAUAUAACCCCCCUGUGCUGUGUAUCUGACUGUUCGAGAACUGAACCCACGUGCAUUUUAUAUAUCACCCAUAACGGCCCCACAGGCUGCCUGCUGUGUGUUUGCGUUACGUGUCUCUCUGAGGGGAGGGUAAACCAUGAAGAUGACAGUGCAGGCCAGUAUUCUGUUUCCAUCCACCAUCUGUGAAACUGGAAACCCAACAUAGCCAUGAGCAAAAAGUCAUGGAACUGGAACACAAUGGUUUCCAUUGCGGGAGCUGCUCCCUGCAGGUCAGGACCUGGUUUCUUUUCCCCACGGUUCAUUAGCUUUGAACAGCUCCCCAGAGGCUCUGGGUAAAGUUCACUCCAUAGGUCAAACUCACGUUUACAAAGGCAAAAGAACACAGCAUGCAGUCGCUGAGUGUAGAGAACUCCAAAGCUUUCCACAGCAACUAGCUCAUCACCCACAGUCUGUAGUCAAGGAACUAACAUAGCAUGUUUUUCAUGUAGGAGAAGAGAAUCUCCCCAAAUGCUGUUUACAGAGAAAGAAAAUAAAAAAUUUCCAUAUUUAAAAGGUCUUCAGACAGGGUAUUUUUUUUCCUUGCUGUAAAAUACUUAGCUACUGAGGUAUACUACUUAUAUCAUCAGAAAAGGAACCUGCCAUCUUUCCAGUGUCCAUAUUGCCUGUGAGCCGAUCGACAGCACUACCAGCAGGGAUCUGCGUGGCUGGUGGUGAAGGCAGGUCUUCUGGCUGAAGGCCCCUGUAUUCAUUCCUAAAUGCCAUGCCACACCAGUGCUCCGGCAGAUCUGACAUCUUCCACAUUGCAGCCCAGGACAGGAGCCAAGGGAGAGGGAGAGGCAUGCUCAUUUCUGUCACUCACAUAUCCUGGACUUCCAGCCUGGACGAGCAGGAGCUCCCCUUACCAUGGACCCCGUGUGGCAAGGAGUCCUCAACACCACACAGUCCCGCAGCAACGAGGCGCGGACACCCGGACACUGCACGGUCCCCGCAGUAACGAGGCACGGACACCCCAACACCACACAGUCCCCCAGUAACGAGGCGCGGACACCCCAACACCACACAGUCCCCCAGUAACGAGGCGCGGACACCCCAACACCACACAGCCCCCCAGUAACGAGGCGCGGACACCCCAACACCACACAGCCCCCCAGUAAUGAGGCGCGGACACCCCAAAACCACACAGCCCCCCAGUAACGAGGCACGGACACCCCAACACCACACAGUCCCCCAGCAACGAGGCGCAGACACCCAACACCACACAGUCCCCCAGUAACGAGGCGCAGACACUCCAACACCAGUCCCCCAGUAACGAGGCGCAGACACCCCAACACCACACAGCCCCCCAGUAACGAGGCGCGGACACCCCAACACCACACAGUCCCCCAGCAAUGAGGCGCGGACACCCCAACACCACACAGUCCCCCAGCAACGAGGCGCGGACACCCAACACCACACAGUCCCCCAGUAACGAGGCGCGGACACCCCAAAACCACACAGCCCCCCAGCAACGAGGCGCGGACACCCCAACACCACACAGUCCCCCAGUAACGAGGCGCGGACACCCGGACACUGCACAGUCCCCGCAGUAACGAGGCACGGACACCCCAACACCACACAGUCCCCCAGUAACGAGGCGCGGACACCCCAACACCACACAGCCCCCCAGUAACGAGGCGCGGACACCCCAACACCACACAGCCCCCCAGUAACGAGGCGCGGACACCCAACACCACACAGUCCCCCAGUAACGAGGCGCAGACACCCCAACACCACACAGUCCCCCAGUAACGAGGCGCGGACACCCCAACACCACACAGCCCCCCAGUAAUGAGGCGCGGACACCCCAACACCACACAGUCCCCCAGCAACGAGGCGCGGACACCCCAACACCACACAGUCCCCGAGCAACGAGGCGCGGACACCCAACACCACACAGUCCACCAGCAACGAGGCACGGACACCCAACACCACACAGUCCCCCAGUAACGAGGCGCGGACACCCCAACACCACACAGUCCCCCAGUAACGAGGCGCCGACACCCCAACAACACACAGUCCCGCAGCAACGAGGCGCGGACACCCGAACUCCACACAGUCCCCCAGUAACGAGGCGCGGACACCCGAACACCACACAGUCCCCCAGCAACGAGGCGCGGACACCCCAACACCACACAGUCCCCCAGUAACGAGGCGCGGACACCCCAACACCACACAGUCCCCCAGUAACGAGGCGCCGACACCCAACACCACACAGUCCCCCAGUAACGAGGCGCAGACACCCCAACACCACACAGUCCCCCAGUAACGAGGUGCAGACACCCCAACACCACACAGUCCCCCAGUAACGAGGCGCGGACACCCCAACACCACACAGUCCCCCAGUAACGAGGCGCGGACACCCAACACCACACAGUCCCCCAGUAACGAGGCGCGGACACCCCAACACCACACAGUCCCCCAGUAACGAGGCGCGGACACCCAACACCACACAGUCCCCCAGUAACGAGGCGCCGACACCCCAACACCACACAGUCCCGCAGCAACGAGGCGCGGACACCCCAACACCACACAGUCCCGCAGCAACGAGGCGCGGACACCCCAACUCCACACAGUCCCCCAGUAACGAGGCGCGGACACCCAACACCACACAGUCCCCCAGUAACGAGGCGCGGACACCCAACACCACACAGUCCCCCAGUAACGAGGUGCAGACACCCCAACACCACACAGUCCCCCAGUAACGAGGCGCGGACACCCCAACACCACACAGUCCCCCAGAAACGAGGCGCGGACACCCCAACACCACACAGUCCCCCAGUAACGAGGCGCGGACACCCAACACCACAGUCCCGCAGGCCCCUGUGGGUCACGGUGCAGGUGGAUCACAGCUGUAGCACCCCCAAGGUGGCCCAGGCACACGGCAGCUCACAGUGACACCCUAGCACCACGCACACUAGAAGAUCCAGAUGCUGUGAUGAGGAGAGGGUUGGACAGGAUGGGAAGUUCCAGAUUCUCCCUCCACCCAGAUUCCAAGAGGCCCAAAGGCUCAGGACAAGGAUCCUGAACUGUGACCGUGAGCUGGACAGGCGGUGUCUGUGGUGCUCUCCAGCCGGGUUCUUCUAAAGCCUUUAUGACCUGGUGCCUUGUGCCCAGGUCUGCACGUGUUCAAAGAGGAAUACAGACCGCGCUGAAAGGGAAUUGGAGGUAUUGUAUGCAUCUCUUCUCACACUGCUAAUAAAGACAUACCCCAGACUGGGCAAUUUAUAAAGGAAAGAGGUUUAACUGACUCAGUUCCACGUGGCUGGGGAGGCCUCGCAGUCAUGGCAGAAGGCGAAUGAGGAGCAAAGUCAUGUCUUACAUGGUGGCAGGCAAGAGAGUGUGUGCAGGGGAACUCCCUUUUAAAAAACCAUCAGAUCUCAUAAGACUUAGUCACCAUCAUGAAAACAGCACAGGAAAGACCCACCCCAUGAUUCAGUCACCUCCUACUGGGUCCCUCUCAUGACACAUGAGGAUUAUGGGAGCUGCCAGGCAAAACGAGAUUUCGG